rnacentral:rRNA from 1 species
AUUGAACGCUGGCGGCAGGCCUAACACAUGCAAGUCGAGCGGAUGAAGGGAGCUUGCUCCUGGAUUCAGCGGCGGACGGGUGAGUAAUGCCUAGGAAUCUGCCUGGUAGUGGGGGAUAACGUCCGGAAACGGGCGCUAAUACCGCAUACGUCCUGAGGGAGAAAGUGGGGGAUCUUCGGACCUCACGCUAUCAGAUGAGCCUAGGUCGGAUUAGCUAGUUGGUGGGGUAAAGGCCUACCAAGGCGACGAUCCGUAACUGGUCUGAGAGGAUGAUCAGUCACACUGGAACUGAGACAAGGUCCAGACUCCUACGGGAGGCAGCGGUGGGGAAUAUUGGACAAUGGGCGGAAGCCUGAUCCAGCCAAGCCGCGUGAGUGAAGAAGGUCUUCGGAUUGUAAAGCACUUUAAGUUGGGAGGAAGGGCAGUAAGUUAAUACCUUGCUGUUUUGACGGUACCAACAGAAUAAGCACCGGCUAACUUCGUG